ensembl:lncRNA
AUGAGUGAUGGCAGGUGUGUUGCUGGUGGUCAGGGAGCAGCCGGAGGGCCCGGCCCGGCCCGGAGCAGCCGGGGGGCCCGGCCCGGCCCGGCCCGGUGCAGCCGGGGGGCCCGGCCCGGAGCAGCCCGGCCCGGCCCGGCCCAGAGCAGCCGGGGGGCCCGGCCCGGCCCGGCCCGGCCCGGAGCAGCCGGAGGGCCCGGCCCGGCCCGACCCGCUGCAGGUCCCUUUUGCCCACUCGGCACUUUUUCUUUGGUUUGUUGUAAAUUUUCGUUUGUUUGGAGGCCGAACUUUGCUUCAUCUUCAGGUGAAAUAAAGAAUAUUUUGAUCAAAUACAAACUUUUGUCAUCUUUGACCUCAUUUGGGGACAGAAGAGAGUUUUUAUGUUAAAACAUGUUAAAAUCAGGACUAAAACACAUUUAACACAUUUAACUUUCACAUGAGGUUUUUCCAAAAAUAAAACAACUUCUUUACUGUCACAGUUGGUUCUGGUUCUGGACCAAAGCAAGAGUUCUGAUAGUUCAGAACCUGGAGCAGCUGGUCACACACACACACACACACACACACACACGCUGGGUGACUUCUGGGUCACUUUUAACAUAAUUAUAGUUCAUUUGUCUUUCUAGAAACAUCUAAAAUAGUUAAAUGUUAAUUUUAAAGUAAAUGUGAAAUGGGCUGAAAUUCCUGUAACGGGAAAAAACAAAAUUCAUUUAUGGAAUCAAAUAACGAGCUCAGUUCAGCCCAUGGAGGGACGGGAACCUUUUUACAGAGACCAUCGUGAUGUUGGCCUCAAAACAGAACAUAUUAUGGGGGAUUUGGUGACGGGGCCCCUGUGUCCCUGGGGGGGGGGGCUGUGUCUGGGGGGGGGCCCUGUGUCUGGGGGGGGGCUGUGUCCCUGGGGGGGGGGGGGGCUGUGGCUGGGGGGGGGGCCCUGUCUCUGGGGGGCCCCACGAGACUGAAAAUGUCCAAAAGAUGCUGCGACUUUAAAUCAAUGAGGGAAAACAGGAAGCAGCUUCUCAGCCUCACGUUGCCGUGGCUCUCAGCCAAUAGGGGGCGCCCUCGCUGUUGCUAGGAUACGAUCACACGAGUGAAGAAAAAAACGGAAGAAUCAACGAGGACGACAGUUAUAAAAAUGUUCACUUCCCCAUAUGUUGGCUUUAAUAAACUUUUAUUUUGGUACUUCCUGUUGUAAAUAUUGAGCUUCUCCUGAGAUUUAAUGAACAUGUGACGAGUUUAAAGGUUCCUAAAUGUUGCUGUUUUUAGCCGCUUCACAGACGGGAAACAUCCAAACCAUUUUCAGGGUCCUUUCACCUCCAUCUGCCCCCUGAGCCCCCAAAGGAGGAGGAGUCACACAGAAUAAUGAAGCAGCUGGUUGCCACGGCAACCACUGAUGCCGCACAGCCACAAACAAGACGAGUCAGGCCCCAGAGGUCAAAGGUCACCAAAAAAUGGGAAUGGAGGGACAAACUCAUAUUAGCAUGCUAAUGCUGUAUUAGCAUUUAUAAACGGAAACACACAACUACACAAUGGACAACAAAACUACACACUGAAGCAAAAAACUACACACUACACCGUGUUGUGUGUUCUGUGUUGUGAGUUCUGUGUUGUGAGUUCUACGUUGUGAGUUCUAUGUUGUGUGUUCCGUGUUGUGAGUUCUGUGUUGUGAGUUCUAUGUUGUGAGUUCUAUGUUGUGAGUUCUAUGUUGUGAGUUCCGUGUUGUGAGUUCUACGUUGUGAGUUCUAUGUUGUGUGUUCCGUGUUGUGAGUUCCGUGUUGUGAGUUCAACGUUCUCCACCAGGUUUAAAACAAAUUGCUGACUCAGGUCUGACACCUGCAGUCGUUGUCUCCACGACGACACGUGAUUGUGUGUCUGGACUCGUCACCAUGGUGACCAUGACAGGGCUGAGAGCGCCAUCUGCUGGAGGGUCCCGCCCAGAAAACACCCAAACAUAAACAUAAACAUUUAACAAAAUCAUUUAACAUUAGUUUGAAUCAAAUGUUCCCAGAGAAACGACUCAGAACCUGGAGGCAGGACGGACUCGGGGGUUCUGAGGGAACGUCUGGACUCUGCUCUGGUUUCUGACAGAACCAGGAGAUCCAGAUCUUUGAACACCCGACACAAGUCAACUUUGGGAUGUUUGUGUCUCCGAAGGAGCCGAAAUCAAGAACCACCAAACCAAGGGGGCGUGGCCUAGUGGCCUCUGAUGCUGAUAUGAAGAUCUUCAGAUUUAAUCUGAUUAAUUCAAGGAUCAGAGAUCCAUAGAAGAAGAAUCACUUCAUCACGUGACCACACCUGAAUUUACCUGCUGGAUCACUGCUCGCUGAACCAGCCUGAGGUUCCACCGGUGUCCAGCAGGCGGCGCUUUCAGUUGUUUCAGGCUUUCAGGAGACAACAGCGCCCCCACAGGUCACAACUGAAACUGUUCGAAAACCAAAAAUAAUUGACUGAAAACUACUUUAAAAGUUCAGAAAUGUCUUAAAACUUCACAACUGUGUUAAAAUCUAUGUGUUAAAAUAGAUUUAGCAAUUUUAAAAAUCCAACAUAAAAGUUCUGUGUGGAUCUGUGUAACACUGAGGCAUUAUGGGUAAUUCAUCACCUGCACCCCCCCAGGAUCAAUAAAAAUAUUUUCCAACAUCAGGAAACACGAGAACAUGUCAAUAAAAAACUUUAUUAUUGUUGUAAAGUACGAUCGACAACAACAUGCUUUUACCACA